AAGUCGUAACAAGGUUUCCGUAGGUGAACCUGCGGAAGGAUCAUUCAUGAGAAUCGGGCGUCUUUCGACCCCGAACCUCCAUCCCCAGCGUACCUUCUCUUCUACUUGGCCGGCCCGCGCGCUCACCCGCGCGGCGGCCGACCUUUAAAACCUUUCUUCUUGAAUAGUACCGUCCGAGUCGAUUUUAAUCAAAACAAAA
rnacentral:misc_RNA from 1 species